CUGCGCACAUCCUCUAUUAGCUGCACUUCGAAAAAAUUACGUAGCACUCACGAAAAUUAAUAAAAUAUAAUUUAUUUUUGUUAAGCUGAUGUUAAUAGUGCAUGCGUUAAAAAUGUACGAUCGACUGCUGUUUUAGAAACUCUCCGUCGUCGUAAUCGGCUUUCCGUAAAAUCGCGUUGCGAUAAAAUAAUAGACAAGAGUCAACACGAUAGCGCAGGUCGCCAGAGACGUCGCGACACAUCGCUCAAAAAUAUAGCCACAAAUCAAACACUCGGCGACGCGUCGCAACGUAGCUAAGAACAGAACGUAGCGUACACUGUUCCGUGUGGCCAUUUACGUCUUCAAGACAGAAAAAUUAUUUUUUAUUCGUAUAGCGAACAUCCGCGAACAUAGUACGCGUAGCGUUCAAUGUGGCCUCGGCAUAAGACGGUGAUUCCCAACGUGGGCGGUACGUUCGGUCUCAUUUUCAUACGGAUAUUGCCGACAGUUGUAUACUUGCAUUUAUUA